rnacentral:misc_RNA from 1 species
GUAUAUUUCAAAUUUAUAUUUUCCAACAUUCUAAACAUAUGAGGUUUGUGAAAAAUGACAUAGACCCUAGAGAUGCAAGGCAAAGCUGACUUUUUACAGCAACAGCAAUCCUGACUCGGAUUUUCAGAAAAUCCAUAAAAGUUCCAGGGUCUACAAAAGGUGCACAGUGUUGGAGAAAUAACAAAGAUGAGACAAGCGUGCACAUAAUCCCCCAGAGGAGACCAGCAACAACCUGUUCAAGUUUAUUCGAUAAUGAUCCUUCCGCAGGUUCACCUACGGAAA